CCCUUCUUUCAAAAGCACCAUGCUAAAAUCAUCAGCUCAAGACCUUCGGGCCUAGAGCUGGUGUUCAUGCUAGUAUUGGUUCUUCACAAAGAAGGAAGAUCAAAAGCACAUGGUCGGAAAUGAGCCUAGCACGGACCUCUUUCUUAAUGUCCAGUGUUCUAGGUCUCAAGAUGCUGUGCCACACAU